CAGAAUUUCAUUCCUGACAGCUGAGGAUAAGGCAACUGCUAGAUGUCUGGGACCUAGAGUUGACUAAGCAGUCAUAUAGUGAAACUCACCUAGAGAAGGCACCUUAAUAAGUGACCCGGAAAGACAAAAGAAAGGGAGGAAGUGGAGAUUAAGGGGUAGCUCAUCUUUCAGGCUGUAAGCGUGCAGACAAACAAGGGGUGGUACGCUGGGAAAGGACAAGUGCCGGUGACACUGCUCGUGGCACGGCCAGUAACUCCCUUUUAAGAUGUGAUUUUGGAGAAGAAAUAGUCCUUCUUGGAGACUCAGUGCUCCAUCUGUAAGGGCUGUACAUUUUUCGGUCAUGACUCGUCUUGGGGAAAGUGAGGAGGGUGGAGUGAAGACCACGAGCUGUCCCCAAAAAUCCACUCUUCCUUCCUCAGCCGUCGGCGUUUAGCCGGGACGUGACUGCUCCGUUAAGGACCCCAACUGCCAGCUCCCGUCGCAGCCCGUCAGGCCAUGUUCACGGAGCUCUUAUCAAUAGAUGGACGUGAGCAGAUCGGACUCUGCAGCUUUUCCUUGCUCGCUUACGAGCAAACCUCCGGCCCUAGAGUUCUGGUCCUUCUCUCUCUUCACAAACUGGAAGCGCUUCCACCAGCGGGCACUCGGAAGCUGCAUGUUGAGGAUGGCAGUCGCUGUCCCUCCCUCUGAACCACCGAGCAGACGCAGCCGUCCACCUGCGUGGAACACUGCCCGGGACCACGCUGCCCCGGACCUCCGGACAAACCACCCUCCCGUCGCCAGGAAACAUCCACGAAGACAUCUCUCUCCCCCUCUUCUUAACCAUCACAUCCAAUACCUGUCCCCCACAUUUUCUGUGGCGGCUUUGAGUGUGUAAUCUUGCACGGUCCGGAUCAGCUCUAACAUUCCAUGAAGAUCCCACAAAUCCACUCGGUGACAUCAUGCAAGAUUGGAUAGGCUGGCGGGAGAGGCGUUUGGGGGGCUCUCUCUAGAGCCCCUCACAUCACAAGACAGAGGAAGCUGCGGACUUUUCCUCCCAGGUGAAGAUGCCCUCGAGCCCCAGGACUGAGUUGCCUUUCAUAUUCUGGCCUCGAUAAACUGAAGGCCAAAUCAGGCGACUUGUUCACUUUUCCUAGGGUGGUCUAGCCUGGGGCAGACUCUGUGUGGAAAGUUGGGGGGCCGGGGGGCUCUGAGGCGGGGGUCAGUGAGAGCGCUUAAGCUUCACAAAACCAUUCAUUCCUCAGACCUUCCUUCCAGCGCCUGUCUGGAUAGACCUGCGUGUGUGCGGUUCUCAUGGGAGAAGCCAAGCGGCCAUAGUCGCCCGUCUUUAGGUGCUGGGUUGAGAUGGGGGUGAGGGCAUCCUCUUGGGGCAGGAGAGGCAGAGAGCUGAUCAAGAGACAGCUUGGUUCUCCAUGACCUGGCUCCGGGUGCCCCGUCGGGGAUUGGCAGCUGGCAUCCCUGGGAAUUGCGUUCCUCUCUCUGAGCUCCUUGGCUUCCUCUUUAAGACGGGCGCGGAGGAUGAAGCUCUGUGGAUGGAGGAGAGCCUUCUAGGCCCUGAAGAGUCCUCGACUUGACCUGGGAGCUAACUUGUGAGGAAGGAAGCGAAAGAGUGACUGGAAAGAGAUUUUUAAGAUCAUUGAGGAUCCAGACUCUCGGCCAGUCCCUCCAUUUCGCAGAUGAGGAAGCCGAAGGUCAGGGAGGGGACGUGAUUCGGCCAAAGUGACGCGGCUGGUAAGCGGCCGAGCUUGGAUGGCACCCAGGGCUCUGCGCUGCCGUUUGGGUGCUCUUUGCCCUGCGCGUGGCGGUGUGCCCUGGCACGACUGCUCAGCUCCGUCUCAAGUGAGGAUCCAGUAAGAGGAGAAGUUGGUGACACUCAGAGGCGUUAGCCUCCCUUCAGGCUCGUCUCCCGCGGGGUUUCUGCUUCCGACCUGCUUGCUCCUGCGCUCCACGCAAGCCGGGGCUGCUCCCCCUCCCCAGCCCGGUGCCUCCUUUCCCGCACAUCAGCAGGCGCUCCGGGAACUCUCACUUGGGUGUGGACGCAUGAAGCUGUGAUCUGAAGGAUGACCUGGUGUCUCCGAGAGAUUCUCUUUCCGGUUUCUCUGGGGAAAAGGGAAACCCCACCAUUGGUUCUGCUGGUUUCCCUGUUGCUCCAUUUGGGCUCUGCUUUCAGAAUGAGGGUCGUAAGUGCCUGGAAAUGUCGAGAGGCAGGCGGAAAAUGCCACCUGAAGCAGACGGGGACCUGAAGACAGCUCUCGGGACUGUACAGUUUUGCCUCUGGCCCCUCUGGUGGUCUCAUCACUACUGCGGACAGGGGAGGAGGUGGGAUGGAGAGGAGCUGAAGGAAUGAACCUUAACGUACAGCGGGAAGGAGACAGGAAUAGUCUGAGCUGGAAGCGAUCUUUUUUCUUUUUCUCUUUUUUGCUUUUUAGGGCUGUACCCGAAGCAUAUGGAAGUUCCUGGGCUAGGAGUCAAGUCGGAGCUGCAGCUGCUGGCCUACAGCACAGCCUCAGCAAUGUGGGAGCCAGGCCGCAUCUGCAACCUACACCACAGCUCACGGCAACUCCGGAUCCUUAACCCACUGGGCAAGACCAGGAAUCGAACCCGCAACCUCAUGGAUCCUAGUCUGGUUGGUUACUGCUGAGCCAUGACGGAAACUCCAGAAGUGAUCUUAUCAUCCUGGCAUUGCUGUAACCUCCUCAUUCAACCACUGGGAGAACAGAUGUUCCACCCCCACCCCUAAGAAAGUUCCCUGUUACCUACUGGACAGUCUGACUUCUUCGGAUUAUCAUCCAAGCUCCUUUGCAUGUGACCCUCUCUCUAGCCCCAUCCUCUCCACAGCUCUGCCCAGUGCCUGUGGCCCGUGACUCUGAGCUACAGGCCAUUAUCCAAACAGUGCUUGCAUGGGCACACCUCCUGCCUUUGCUCGGGCAGGAAUGCCCUUCCUCAUGUUACCUGCCUGGUGAAUUCCUCCUCAUCCUUCAAGAUCCAGGUCCAAUAUCACCUGAGACACCCUCUUCUGAGACACUCCCUUCCCAGCUGGUCUUUCCCUCUUGUCUGUUCCUAAAGUGCUUUGCAUAAAACCCUCUUAGAGUACAUGCAGUACUGAAACUGAGUGUGUGUGUCUCUCUCCCUCUCUCUCUCUCUCUCUUCCUCCCUCCUUCUCUCUCUCUCUCUCUCUCUGCCAUACUUUGUGCUGGGAGGUGUGAGGGCAGGGACCUGUGCCUCAUACAGUUCUUUAUAGCAGGCAGUCAAGAAUAGAUAGAUCAGUGACUCCUCUUAUUAGACUCUCCCUCCUGCAUACACAUACGCAUUCAGGAAAACAGCUUACUGUACUUAAAAAGCAACUUUGGGGCAGGCCAAAACAAAUUCCGUUUGGUUUGGGGAAGGGGAGGCUCAGACAAAAGACAGCGUCUCUGUCAGGUAGGGAAGUAAGUCAGGGGAGGAGGAAUUCUAAGUCACCUUUGGAAGCCCAGAUGUUCUCUGCACCUGUACCCAAUUUCAUCCAAAGGGCAAACAUUCUUGGCCCCAAAACAGCAACAGCAGCUUUGCAACUCUCUUACCUGUGUACCUAGCCAGGGUGCGGCCACACACACCUACCCGCUUACACACAGCCCAACUCCCGGGCCCCCAGCCUCUGAUCUUGCCUUUCGGGCGUGCCUUUCAUGGUUGCAGUCUUGGCUGUGUGCUUGGCUAUGUGACCUUGAGCCCUGCACUUAUUUCCUCUGAAACUCAUCUAUGAGAUGGGGAUAAUUUCCCUGCCCUGCUUGUCCCACAUGGGAACGCGGGAAGACAAUGGGGAAAAGGUGUUUUAGAAGCUGCUAAGUAUUACAUAAACGUAAGAGAGAAUUAUUGGGCAGCCCGGUCGCCUUGUUUUUUUUUCUGUUUCCCUAUUUCCACCUUGUCCCCAACAUGACUCAAACAGCUAUCCCUAUGUCCCCUCUUCGCACCCUUGCUUCUCCUAUCCUCCGAAGUAGCUAGGAGGUCCUUUAUUACUCUUCUUGAUUCUCAGACGAC